AACAGAUGACACAUCCGAUCUUCUUCACAAUUUCAUUUUAGGCAGAAAUUUCAAAUAAGAAAAUGAAGAGAAAGUGCAUUACGUCAGCCUCAUCAGAGAUUUCGAACGUGAAUAAAACUUCGCACUAAUCUUAAAUGGAGAAAUAGUCUGCUGUAAGCUCUGAAUCACGGCGACCUUCAUUACUAUUAGUCACAUUUUAUCGAAAAUUUCCGACGGGUUGAUUUUGUAUGUACGGGUUAAAAAGGUGGCGCACAGUACAGGUGUCAGCAAUUAUAUUCUAUUCAUGCAGUCGUGACCGCUCUGAUAGCCUUUUGUAUUCAAAACACUAAUGUUUAUGUGAGGCACAACAGCAAACAAUAAACACUGCACUUCAAUCAAUGUUUGGGUGACCACGACUUACGGUCUCCAAAAAAAUCUAUCGAAAUGCGAGCACCGAAACAAACGAGACGGAAGAAACGAUGAUGAUCAACUGCGACACAACACUGACUGCCGGAUGCCGACUGAACAGAAAGGCAUGACUCUGACCGGCUAUAGUAGAGAAAAUGUGUAUAAUAAAACCCAAACUCAUUCUCCCUGUAACAGUAGAUCAACCACGCUCCAUGAUUCCUCUCGUCUACACCACUUCCCAACUUCGCGCCAACCGCUGGAUGCUAAGGGUUUCUGAUUGGGUGUUUUGCCUAGGUGUAUCGUCGUUACCCUAUACGAUAAUAGAGGCCGACCGGAGUAAAUAGAACCAACAUUUUUGUUCCUGUUUGCUCUGAAUUGCAUUUGAAAAACUAUUGACCUUGAAACCGUGGCAACGCAGGGCACCGUAGCAACGAUUGUCGCUUAUUGAUCAAAGUCAACCAAGCGCAAAAUGUUCCAUCAAUUUGUCGCCAAAAUGUCGCUGAAACACAUGACAAACGUGAAAUCCAACUGGUCUAAAGUACGAGAUAUCCGAGCAGCUUGUUUUGUAGCUGAUGUAGCUUUGGCAGUAGCAAUGGACAGCCAUAUAUUGCUGGUGAAUCUUUCAACGAAAAUAGAAACUUUCUACCGGGCAGUAGACAAAACGAAUGGUGAUGGGGUGUCCUGCAUUGCAGGGCACAGAACCUUUAGUAUUUUCGGAUUUGCUGAAAACUGUGCAAAGCCCAGAAUUUUUCUCAUAGGAUA